UACGUAGGUGGCAAGCGUUGUCCGGAUUUAUUGGGCGUAAAGAGCGCGCAGGCGGUUCGUUAAGUGCGAGGUGAAAUCUCCCGGCUCAACUGGGAGGGGUCUUCGCAUACUGGCGGGCUUGAGGAGAGCAGAGGUGAGCGGAAUUCUCGGUGUAGUGGUGAAAUGCGUAGAUAUCGAGAGGAACACCGGUGGCGAAGGCGGAUCUCUGGGCCUUACCUGACGCUGAGGCGCGAAAGCUAGGGGAGCGAACAGG
rnacentral:rRNA from 1 species